UACGUAGGGGGCAAGCGUUGUCCGGAAUUACUGGGCGUAAAGGGCGCGUAGGCGGUGCUCUAAGUCGGAUGUGAAAACUCUGGGCUCAACCCAGAGCCUGCAUCCGAAACUGGAGUGCUAGAGUUCUGGAGGGGGUAGCGGAAUUCCUGGUGUAGCGGUGAAAUGCGCAGAUAUCAGGAAGAACACCAAUGGCGAAAGCAGCUUUCUGGGACGGUACUGACGCUGAGACGCGAAAGCGUGGGGAGCGAACAGG
rnacentral:rRNA from 1 species